UACGUAGGGGGCAAGCGUUGUCCGGAAUCAUUGGGCGUAAAGAGCGCGUAGGCGGCCCUGUAAGUCCGCUGUGAAAGUCAAGGGCUCAACCCUUGAAUGCCGGUGGAUACUGCAGGGCUAGAGUCCGGAAGAGGCGAGUGGAAUUCCUGGUGUAGCGGUGAAAUGCGCAGAUAUCAGGAGGAACACCGAUUGCGAAGGCAGCUCGCUGGGACGUUACUGACGCUGAGACGCGAAAGCGUGGGGAGCAAACAGG
rnacentral:rRNA from 1 species